rnacentral:rRNA from 1 species
AUUGAACGCUGGCGGCAGGCUUAACACAUGCAAGUCGAGCGGGGUGAUGGUGCUUGCACUAUCACUUAGCGGCGGACGGGUGAGUAAUGCUUAGGAAUCUGCCUAUUAGUGGGGGACAACAUCUCGAAAGGGAUGCUAAUACCGCAUACGUCCUACGGGAGAAAGCAGGGGAUCACCUGUGACCUUGCGCUAAUAGAUGAGCCUAAGUCGGAUUAGCUAGUUGGUGGGGUAAAGGCCUACCAAGGCGACGAUCUGUAGCGGGGCUGAGAGGAUGAUCCGCCACACUGGGACUGAGACACGGCCCAGACUCCUACGGGAGGCAGCAGUGGGGAAUAUUGGACAAUGGGGGGAACCCUGAUCCAGCCAUGCCGCGUGUGUGAAGAAGGCCUUAUGGUUGUAAAGCACUUUAAGCGAGGAGGAGGCUCUUUUGGUUAAAACCCAAGAUGAGUGGACGUUACUCGCAGAAUAAGCACCGGCUAACUCUGUGCCAGCCGCCGCAGUAA